rnacentral:lncRNA from 1 species
GGAACAGACAGGAGCUCCGGUCUGCAGGGCCUUGAUACACCUUUGGGGUUGAUUCCUCUGGGCCAAUGCCCAUCCCACUGUCUUGAAGGAUGCCCCAUCUCUCUGAUCCUGGGUUCAUUCUUCCCCCUUUCUCCCGCACCCAGCUGCCUUGGAAAUGGGAAGCUUCCUCCUUGUGCACUUGAACAGCCCAGGUGCCCACACCAUGCCAUGAGCACUCAGUACAUGCCUGCUGUGGGAAUGUCGGAAUGCGUGAGUGGGUGCAUGGUUCCAGCUGCCUGAGGACUCUCCCUGUGUGGACGCACCUUGCUAGGAGUUCAGUGUGAAAUGCACUGAUGUACUCAUCAGCCACCAGAGGCCCAGACAUCAGAUGCUUCUGGAGCACAGAGCUGGCCAUGUGGUUGGCUGGGAGCGGCAGAUAAACCCAUGCAAGUUUUAUGGAGGAGAAAACAGAAGUUCUGAGAGAUCACUUGCCCAAAGCCACAUGGUUGGAAGGCUUGUGUUCAUCCCUGCUCCCAAGACUCGCCUGACUCCACAGCAUUCCAUAGCCCUGGCCUGAAACUCUGGUCGCCUCGUGCCCGGUGUAAGGGUGGGGGCACUCCCAGGAGGGCUCGGAGGAGGCUUGGCUGGCCGUGUUCUGGGCCCUGCGUGAUCCCAGGUUCUCCGACGGACCCCGGGGUGGCCGGGAGAAGCCGUAUGUGCUGUGGACAGAGGUGUCUGCCCCCCAGCCCUGCCCAGGCCCAGGUCCUGCUCCUGUGCCUCGUGAGGGGGUGUUGCUGCCCAGUGCAGGCCUCACCUAGCAGUUCCUGGGCACUGGCUGAGGUCUGCUCCUGCUCCAAGUCCGGGGUCUCAGCCAGGCCCAGCCGGUGAGGGAGGCUGUGUGGCCUCGUGGGGUCGGGGCGGGUAGCUUCGAAGUGGUCAGCUGCUGCCUGCUGUGGCGGCUGGGGCUGGAGUCCUGCUCCUGGCUUUCCAGGAUGCACAGGCUGGGCUUGGAGGAGCAAGAGGAGGCGGAUGGAGGGCGGAAAGGAGCCCAGGGCCAUGGCUCCCAACUCCUCUGAAAAGCCCGUGAGCUCGAUAGCAUCCACUUUGCAUUUUAUCAAAUCGCCAUUUCUCACAGAAGAAUCUGUCAGCCACCAAAAUUGCUGGCUGAAAGGAGCAGGAAUGAAAAGAUUCACCUUGAGGACAUUCCUCUUUGUCAGGAGCAGAAAAGAUUCCAUUUGCCAGCCGGGAGAGGAUUCCGGGUUCAUUGAUAGCAGCGUGCUGAGCUUCAC